GUUUGGAACAUAGUAAGCCCUCAAUACAUACUUAUCAUUUCCAUUUUUAUUGGAACAAAGAAUCUCCACUACAUAGUACAUCUCGGAGAACUUAACUGUCAUCCCAAACAAAACAGACACCUUUGCAUGACCAUCUUGGAUUAUCAGCAGCCAAUUGUUUAGGUUUUUUCUUCUUCUACUUGAAAUGGUAACUCAUCGUGAACUUGAAGAGUGUGUUAGUCGUUGCAUUCAAUUCCAGUCACGUUUAUUGAAUACUAGUGCAUGGUGUUGUCCUGGGUUCUUCUAUUUUUUAUAUUUGGUACUGGGGAAUGAACCCAGGGGCACUUUACCACUGAGUUCCAUCCCCAGCUCUUCUUAUUUUUUGAGACAGGAACUUGCUAAAUUGCUGAGGCUGGCCCCAAACUUGCGAUCCUCCUGCCUCAGCCUCUGCCCUAAGUUCUUUUGGGGGAUUCAGAGAAAGGAAGGCAGACCUUGAGCCUUGUCUGUGGUCAGGAAUAGGAAUUCCAUGCAGAGGAGGUGUCAGGAGCAAAGCACAGAGGUGACAACACGUGGGGCGUGUUCACAGUCAUGUGAGGGUGUGCUCAGCACCCUUUGAACUUGGAAAUCCAUUCUCUCCCAGUCAGUGUCCUUUCCUCCUUCCACCAGGUUCGCCUUGCUGUUCCUUUCUGCCCCUCUCCCUUCUCCUCCCUCUCCCCGGCCCACCGGCUCGCUCCUCCUCCCCUCUCAUAUCGCCAGUGCGGUGGCUUGUGGCAGUCCUGCAGUGACGCUUUCCAAUUUCACACUUACAUGCUCCUGAAAGUAUUCGCAAACUGACUUCUAUGUAAAACCAAUAAAGGGCGACAGCACGCGUCCCUGUUAGACAGUCAUUUUGCUGGGCUGCCUCUCUUCUCUCUCCGUCGCCACUCUUCUCCCAGACCUCGUGAUUUGCCCUUUCCAGACACGGAAGCUCCCAGAAUCCAGCCACGGUGGGGCUCUGCAAGCAUCUGUCCUAAGAAUUUAAAUUAGAGCUCCCAUGGAUGGAGGUUCAUGGGCCUGGGCAAGGGCUACUUUCCAUUCGUUGUUUAAUACACCCGACUACCAUGCCAUGUGGGUCUGAAUGAUUCCCAUUGCACAGAUGAGGAAACUGAGGCUCAGGAGGAGGAAAGAGUGCUAACCAUGCACCACAUUCACUCGUUGUUUCUGCCCUUGGCUCACCCGUCCUGAUGCCUGCUACCAAGGCUCUAGGAUGCUUAGCUGUCAUCUGAGCCAACAGGCUCCAUCUUACACCUGGAAACACCUAGAAGAAAGGAACUUGCCCAGUCACAGAGGUUAAUGGUAGAACUGGAGCUAGAACUCAGGUUUUGUUCUUCUCAAGUCAAGGAACUCAAAAUGGAGAAAAAUACCAGUGUUGAGAGAGUACCCAAGGCCAGGUAGACUGGGGUUUGAAUUUCAUCUGUACUGCUUGCUUGUAAGCUGUGUGACCUUAGGCAAAUCGCAAAAUCUCUCUGGGCUCCAGUUUCCUCAUUUAGAAAGCAGGAUUGUAGUGCCCAUGUCAGGUUUCCUGUGAGGAUUCGAUGAGGUCGCAAGUUUGACAGCACAGUGACUGUCAUGCUUAAAGCAAGCCCGAGGUUCCUGAGUGCUUCAGGAAGUGGAACCCAGGCUGCAGAGGCCCAGGCUCAGUGGCUCUCGUUAUCCUGGGUUGUGAUCACUCUUGUCCCACCCGCUGGGGUCAUCAUGCCUUCCAGGGUCCCCACCCGGGGAAGCCCACAGAGGCCCAGUCACAAGCUGACAAAUCCAAGGCAAGCAGCUGUGCAGGCAUCUGUUCCCCUCGCUGACCUUGGAGGAGACCUUGAACUGCUCCCUGGAGGACCGAGACCCAGUGACUGCGAGGCAGAGAGCACAGGGACUGGAUUCUUUUUCCUCCAAAUCCCCUGGGACCCCGGUAUGCUGUCAGUGCACAUUAAGUGCUUGUUGAACGAACGAACGAAUGAAUGAAUGGCUACUGCCUCGUGCCCUGUCGUAGGGGCUUGCUAAUCUUUCUAAAAAUCGAAGGGGUGCACACAGUGGACCAUGAAGGGUGCCCAUGCUCUACUGUCCCUGUCACCCCCUCCCGGGGAUUAUAUCCCUUCUUUAACCUGACUAUUCUGGGAUUUAGCAUCUAUCUCUAGUCUUUUUGGGAAAGCCAGGUAUUUCAGCUCUAGGUGCCACCUGGUCAGUUCCUGUCCUACUAGUCCCCCGCCACUUUCUCCGCCCAACGUUGAUUCCGUUACUCUGAGCGAGGCAAUACUCAGUGUUUACGUUCUGACUAUGUCAACUGUGGUCACAGCCGAGUCACAUUGUAAACCAUGGUUGCUUUUCUUUCCUUGAAGCUCUUCCUGUUCCCUCUCCCAGGAGUUAAUCGUUCUCUUGGGUUUUUCUUUUUGUUGUUUGCUUAGUUUUCUGUGUAUUUAGGGUUAAUUCAAUCCCCACAUCCUCACCAAGUGUUCACAUUUCCCCUAAGACCUUGCCACAUGCCAGGUUUUCCAUCGAUCUUGUCACCUUGGAAAAGCCUCCUCCCUGGGCACCCAUGCUGCUCUGCUCUGGGCUUGUACCCAGCUGUCACUCCGGGGUCGCCCUUCACCACCCUCCUGGAGAUGUCCUUUUCCCUCUUUGGGGUUGGGAUCACCCAUUUCUCAUUGGAGUGCCUUCCUGUGCCUUACUCCCCCAGUGUGGAAGAACACAUCUUCUAGAACCUUCCCAAGCAUGAUUAAAAUGCUUUAUUCUGGGGCUGGGGUGGUGGCUCAGUGGUAGAGCGCUUGCCCAGCAUAGCAUGUGUGAGGCACUGGGUUUGAUCCUCUGCA
rnacentral:lncRNA from 1 species